rnacentral:rRNA from 1 species
GAUAAACGCUGGCGGCGUGCUUAACACAUGCAAGUCGAACGAAGUUUUUCUUUCGGGAGGAACUUAGUGGCGGACGGGUGAGUAACGCGUGGGUAACCUGCCCUGUACAGGGGGACAACAGCUGGAAACGGCUGCUAAUACCGCAUAAGCCCUUAGCACUGCAUGGUGCAUAGGGAAAAGGAGCAAUCCGGUACAGGAUGGACCCGCGUCUGAUUAGCCAGUUGGCAGGGUAACGGCCUACCAAAGCGACGAUCAGUAGCCGAUCUGAGAGGAUGUACGGCCACAUUGGGACUGAGACACGGCCCAGACUCCUACGGGAGGCAGCAGUGGGGAAUAUUGCACAAUGGAGGAAACUCUGAUGCAGCGACGCCGCGUGAGUGAAGAAGUAUUUCGGUAUGUAAGCUCUAUCAGCAGGAAAGAAAAUGACGGUACCUGACUAAGAAGCACCGGCUAAAUACGUG